rnacentral:rRNA from 1 species
GACGAAGGGUGCUAGCGUUGUUCGGAAUUACUGGGCGUAAAGCGAGUGUAGGUGGUUGUUGUAGUCAGGCGUGAAAGCCUUGAGCUCAACUCAAGAAAUGCGCUUGAUACUGGGCAGCUAGAGGAUCGGAGAGGAUAGUGGAAUUCCCAGUGUAGUGGUGAAAUACGUAGAGAUUGGGAAGAACACCAGUGGCGAAGGCGGCUAUCUGGACGAUUUCUGACACUAAGACUCGAAAGCGUGGGGAGCAAACAGG